GAAAUAAAAAGUGGAGGUUUGUAAAAAGGGCCAUAAACAUUAAGUAAUCGCCUUGGAUAAAGGCAGAAAAUCUCGUUUUCCAUCGGAUUUUGUUCCUAUUACGGCCGUACAUAUAGUUGACCACGAUUAUAAUGUUUAAAGGUUAGAAAGUUGCGAUGAACACGUUGUAUACAUCAUGUUGCUAGACAAGAAGAUGUGACCACGGAUAAUUUAGACGACAGAGAAUGGAGUAUUGGAAGAAGAGUGGUAGAAUUGGAGACCCUGGCUGAUGGACUUAAAGCAUGUUAUCUUUGCAGUCAGCUAUUACAUCUCUUAAACUGUGUGGGUGAAAAAAAACGGUUUAGCCUAAAUUUUACUUGUUAAAUGCCCAUAUCCUGAGUGUGGUUUUAUAAAUGAUAUACCAACUGGCACUAAACAUGCUACAGUAAAUGGUGGCCAAGCCUGGGAUGUCAAAACAAAGUAAGCUGCAGGUGAAACCUACCAAUCAAAGAUUGCUUUUCAAGAUCAUGCUGAUCUCUACGACAUUGUUUUGAAGCAAGACAAAGUUUCUCCAGAUCAUAGUCCACAAUGAUAUUUUUUCACUUUUGGCUAGCCAGAACACCAGAUAUUCUACAGAUUGCUGCAGUAUCAGGGAAUGAAGAGAUGAAUGUCUAUAUGUGACCAACAACUCAGAUUUGUCUUGAAGCUUCUGUGGCCCCUCGGAUGACAUACAUUGGUGGAGUACUAAAACAUAAAGGACAAACAGUUACAUCAGUCCCUCCAGAGGAUGGUCUUAGAUAUUUCCUUGAGUUUUUAAAGGAAUUUUUCAAGCCCAUUUUGGUUGGCCACAAUGUGCAGAAUUUUGAUGUCCCAGUCCUGGUGAAUCAGCUGACAAAAUAUGGUUUAUUGGAACAUUUCAAAGAAAAUGUUUCUGGAUUUCUUGAUAGAAUGGAACUUGCAAAAAAAAAAAUCCAGAAAAAAGGGAUUGAUGUAGAGAACUAUAAGCAAGAGAUUUUAGUGAAAUCACAUCUUAAGAUGCACACAAUCACUUAAGCAACUCUACGAGAAAAAGAAUAUCUGAUAUGUCAUCUUCAAAUGAUGUGUUUGCUCUGUCAUACUACGCAUGCAAAUCAUCAUUAGACACCUCAGUGAAGUCUAAAGUUAUUUCAUCCCUGCCAAACAUAUUGAAGAAUCUUGUUUAUUGUUCCCUUAGUCUAUCUAGUAUCAAAGCUGAGAUGAAUUCACAAACGUGACCCAUACAAUGGAAUCUGGAAUGUGUUCUGUGAACGUGCAGAUGAAACAAAGAUCCUGAGAGUAUCAAAAUCCAAAAAUGUUAUUGACAAAGUUGUGGCUUAUUUGAAUGCACCAUGAGAACAUUUACAAAUGUGUAGUAUGUAUUUACUAUUGAUGUGAAUAUUUAGAAAUAUCCCAGGUCCAGAUAUUGAGGGUAAAAAACAUGAAAAAU